GCGUCCUGGGAGCCGAGCGUUUUCUCUCUCUGCUGACACUCCCAGCAGCCCUGCCUGGCCAGGCCAGGCUGGAGAGCACCCGGACCAUUUUCCAGACGGUGAGAUGGAGGCCUGGAAACCGAGCUUAUGAGCAGCCCGGAGCUUUCCAUUGCCUGCUCAGCCUUCCAGAUACAUCCCAAUUCCAGUUCUCUCCAGGCCCCUCUGGGAUCCAGCCAGCCUGCUUCCCCGCCAGGGCCCCGCUGCUUCCAAAAUGGGCCUGUGCAGCGUCAUUCAGGAAGCCCGUGGUACUCACAUCACUUUGGCCAGAUGCUAACAAGAAAAUGAUCCACUGUGACGCAGCUGACCCCAUCCAGUGCAUCCACAUUACCUGGAAAGAAGCAAUUAUGCCCCUUUGGUUUCCUUGGAAAUGCUCGGUCUGUCUGUACCAUCCUCCCUGGCUCUUGAGCAGAGCUUUGACAGGGAAACAGUGCGUUUAUUUUCAAACUGAAAGUUUACAGAAUACAAAGUGAGCCUAUAAGAUGGAUGGCCAUUCUCCAGAGGCUUGUUGGCCAGACAGGAAGGAAAACCAGUGCACCAUCAGGAACGUGGAGGAGACUGAAAGAGAGGGACAAACAUAUUGGAUUGGAUCGGGCCCCCACAGUCAAGUUCCUGCAAACCCAGCUGGGAUAUUUUCCUGACUAAGGGUUAUGGUCUUGGGCCUCAAAGGUGAGAAGAAAAAUCAAUUAAAGAUACUGUGUAUAUUUAUACACUCUGUUGGCAUUAGAAACUGUAACACGUACAUUUUUCAGUCCAUAAAGAACAGGCUGCAUCAGCACAGCGACACACAUCUACGGGUUUGUCUAAGACUGUUGUGUUUGGGGACCCCACAAGUCCAUGUGCCCUUUGGAAUCAGCAGGUUUAUUUGGAGUCAGACGUAUCAGAGCUCUCUCCUAUCUCCCCAGUCAAAGCCCAGCCUCUGUGCCAGGGAGGACACAAGAGGACAGACACAGCCUCUGUGUCAGGAGGAGGGAAGAAGGACUAAUGUCUGCGGACCCUCCGAGGCUCACAGGGAGAAGCCACACACUCACAGCACCAGGUAUAUUAUCUCUGUUCUCCCACUUGACUUUAAGCUCAAUGAAUGCCAGGACCCUUAAAACAAAGCACAUAGCAAGUUUUCAGUGAAGUCUUGUUAAUUUUCAAAUGAAGGAAUAAAUGAACGACUAUAUUUCCACUUCGCAGAUGAGUAAACAGAGGCUCGGAGGGGUGAUGAAAUUUGCCAACAUCACCGAUCAGUAAGUAUGACAGAAGUAGGACUGGAACCCAGGGCUGUCUGACCUCUGGCUUGAGUCUAUAACCACUUGGCCAUACUGCCUUUCAGUUCCAGGAACAGGUGAUGCUUCCUGGCAGUGAGAUUCUAAACCAGCGGGAGUUCCCAGCCAGAGACAUGAUCUAAGUGCCAAUGGCUGAAUGUCUGUGAGCAUUUGAAGUCAUUGUAAGAACAGGCAACGUUAGCGGCACCAUUAAAGCCUGCUGUUCCUCCAGCCCAUCACUGCCAUCCCCACCUAUUAAAAUAAUGGUAUG